rnacentral:rRNA from 1 species
CCUACGUGAGGCAGCAGUAGGGAAUCUUCCACAAUGGGCGAAAGCCUGAUGGAGCAACGCCGCGUGGGUGAAGAAGGUCUUCGGAUCGUAAAACCCUGUUGUUAGAGAAGAAAGUGCGUGAGAGUAACUGUUCACGUUUCGACGGUAUCUAACCAGAAAGCCACGGCUAACUACGUGCCAGCAGCCGCGGUAAUACGUAGGUGGCAAGCGUUAUCCGGAUUUAUUGGGCGUAAAGGGAACGCGGGCGGUCUUUUAAGUCUGAUGUGAAAGCCUUCGGCUUAACCGGAGUAGUGCAUUGGAAACUGGGAGACUUGAGUGCAGAAGAGGAGAGUGGAACUCCAGGUGUAGCGGUGAAAUGCGUAGAUAUAUGGAAGAACACCAGUGGCGAAAGCGGCUCUCUGGUCUGUAACUGACGCUGAGGUUCGAAAGCGUGGGUAGCAAACAGGAUUAGAUACCCGGGUAGUC